UCUGACCACUGUCAAAGUCGUGCCCUCGGUCGUCAUCCCCGUCGUUCUCGUGAGUUGGAUCGUCGUGCCACCGGGGUCGUCUUCACUUCUGGCGCUCGGCGAUGAACUUUCAGCGAACUCUGCACACCGGACGCGCGGCAAAAUCCUUCCAUCAGCAGGGCGGCAGCUUUCGGGGGAAUGUUUUCCGGCAGACUCUCGCACUCGCCCACCUCGGACGAUUCGUCCAGGGUGGAGGAUUUGUCCUGCAGCACCUUGGUCUGGAGCCGGCGCAGCUCGUUGUAGGUGAUUUUGAGCUUGUGCAGCUUGUUCCGCAAACUGCGCCGCACAUCGUCGCUGGCCGAGCGGGCAAAGUGUGUGCCGGAGGAGCUGGAGCUGCUGCGACUGCUGCUGCGCUUGCUGAUGAUGGAGCUCGCUGCCGUGGGAGACCGUGCCAGAUCACCGACGGCUGGCAGAUGGCAGUAAGCCAGUCGGGCGCUGUUGUGUCCGCUCACUGUGGUAGAUCCACCGCCGGUGCUGCCUCCUCCUUGCUUUAGCUUUGUGCGCAAACCACGCAGCGAGUUGAAGGACGAUCGCAUCGAGUGUCCCCGGCGGAAGGGAUGCGAUCCGUCCGCGGCGACCGGUGUUGACGGAACUGUCACGCGAACCAUUGCCGCUGUGUUGAUGGAAUCCGGUUUUAGGGCGUGCCCGUCGUAAGGCUCCUCCUCAACGUCCACGUACGUUUCACUGCUGUCGUUGAACACGGCAUUGAAAUAGCAUCCGUCGGCCGCGAGUCCGGUGCGUGAGGACGUUCGAUCCUGGUAGAAGGAUGAUGAUGUGCUGCUGCUGAUGCUGCUGUUGUCUUUGGCUUCACGGCUGUCAAAACUCUCGCAACGCACAACGUGCCGAACGGUUGCUGUAUCACUGCCGUUUGCACUGUGAAUGCGUUCCAUUUGUUUCGUUUAUGUUUUUUUUUUCGGGGUUACUGUCUCUUGACGGACACUAGACUGGCUGUAAUAUGAUGAAGGAUUGCAAAUCAAAAUCAUGUGCAUCGAAACGACACACAAACGGAGCAACUGAGCGCGGCAAAAGCAAAUCAACCUUUGAAGUCUACGAAAAAACACAUGGAAGAACGAGAAGCGACGAAGGUCCCUUGCCUGACACAUUGGUGUAAAGAGAGCAUUAAGGACACUUGUGAAGUAAUGCAGCGUUCAAUAGCCAUCAAGUUUUUGAAUUGAAUGUUUGAAAAAAGCUUGCAGUUAGAUACAACGCUUUGUGUCACUUGGAAAACUGCAGCAGCCCUUCUAUCUUCCCAUCCGACAGUAAAAAUUGGCCCUUCAAACUCCAUUUUCUCCCAUCCUCUGUCUUCUGUCGCUGUACAGUUUUUAAUCGAAAUCGAUUCCGAUACGACGUGAAAAUGGAUUGCACAUGAAACUGGCGCAUAAAAAGCAUCUUCUCCCUUCACCGUGCAGAGAAAAUCGCAACCCGGACGUUGGCACAAAGCGGAUAAUGGUCCCUUCGCUACAACUUUCCCGUCGAUGGUCGUCGAGGUGCUUUUCACACUUCUCGCGUCAGCUUCGCGUAAGUAAUUUCCAUUGAAACUGUUUCGAAAUUGUUCGACCAGUCCUGUGCGUGCCAGUUGUGCUAAUGGAGCUAUAGACAGGCACACACACACACAUAAAGUAGGAACAGUAACGGGCAAAAAAACAGACCCUCCUACAGCCGUUGUUUUCCCGCGUGAUGGCGAGGAGCUAACGAGCUUUCUUCUCUGUGAUGGAUCCGUGCACGAUAAUG